GACCUUCAUUUACUUUAAAGUGGCGCCAAGUCCAACUCUCCCACUAAUUUUUUUACAUUUUUUUUACUUGGAAAAAUAGAAAAGAAUUAACCGCCUUUGUACUUUUUCUAAUCAACGUGUUUAAGUCUCUUUUUUUCACCAACACAACUAGAACUUUCCCAAUUUUUAUCAAUUCAAUUUACGCCACAGCCAAAAUCUUUAUUUUCAUCCUAUUACAUAUGUAAUUGGUGAAAGGGGGAAGGGUUUGUGCUUUGAAGAAGGCAAGAUGGCAGAUUGCGAAGUGGAUAUAUAGUUCAAGCGGCAGAUCAUUUGGCGGUCGGCACUUCAGGUGUGCACGGUGCCAAUCCGACCAAAUGACAAGCGGCUGAUGUGGGUGAAAGCCAAAGGAGGUAAUAGCGUUACCAAUUUUGGCAGCGAAAGGGGGGCAGCAACUACAGUUGGUCGACAGCUUGAGCAGGGAGAAUUUUUACUUAUUUUCGGUUCGCGAUAUAUAUCGAAUUCUAACUGGUAUUUGAUGAAUUGAAAUUCUCCCUUUAAUUACCUUUUCUCUAAGAAAAUUUUUAGUGUUGUUGUUUGGUGUUUGAUAUCUCUUUUAUUCUAAGAGGACUAAGAUUUUGGCAGAAUUGAACUGCAAAUGUAUUAUGUAUGCUCUAGUAUCGUCCUUUUUAAUAUAUAGAAAUUUGAUGUUGAUAUUAUUUAGAAAGUUGAAGUAUGGUAUUGGAAUCCUCAGGAAGUUUGUUUUGUUUAGAAAGUUGAUGUCGUUUGUAGAGAAUUAAGGUAUGCAUCUAUGCAAAUUCCACUAUCGUAAUACUUUGCAGUCUUUAGCAAUUUUGUAUACUUUGAAGCUAGUUAGAUGUUUAUACAAAUUGAGUUUUCAAUGUAAUGAUGAAUACUUAGUAUUAUUGCUCUAGAACUAUCUCAUAUAUUUAUUUGGUUUGUCUUCUAGUAGGGUUACAAUUCGUGUUAUAUUAAUCUCGCAUUGCAGUAAAGCAUGUCUUGAUUCAUGAGGUAAGUUAUAGAAGUGUGGAAUGAAAUAUUAUAUUUACUGAAUUUAUGAUCCAAUUUCUUCCUCCUGCUAUUAUUUUUAUUUUUAUUUUAUUUCAGCCUGAACCAUUAAUAGAAGCUGGAGAUGAAGGACUUUGUUGCACAUGGUUUCUGUUACUUGAGCAAUAAUGAUAUUCUCUAUGUCUUGGAUAAAGCUGGUUUUUUCAAGUUUCUAAACCAUAGAAGUUGGCUUUCAAAUGUCUUUGUUAGGAUAGCAUGAUCUCUUGCCAAGAACAUUUAAAUUUACUAAUAAUUGCCAAUGUGUUUAAAAAAUUGUUUAAACUACUUGAUUUUCUAUAUAUUGAUGUCAUUCUUUUUUGUGUCUCUUGUAUUAUUUAUUUUACCUUUUAGUCUUGGUGAGGGAAUAGAGAAUUUCAUGUUGAAUCAUUGACUACGUCAAUUACACUGUCCUCGGUACUAAUUUCAGGUUUAUAGCGAGAGGUGUGUAGUGCAAUGCAAUUUAGCUCUUCUUUUUUGGUGAAAGCAAGGGAUCCUGGGAAGGCACUGAGCCACUCAUUUAAGAUGCUUAUUCAAUUUACAGGUUGGAAUAUUCCAUCAUUCUUGUUUCACUAGAGUAAUAGAAAUCUCUUCGCCAAGGCUAUAAAAGUGGCAUUGCAAUGAUGAACUUAUUGCAUUGAACUGGUGAUAUUUAAAAUGCAAAGAAAGGUUUUUGCAUUAUCCUUUGUGAAUCAACUUCUCUCGAUAUGCUCUCCGUAAUAUGCAUAUUUGAUGCAUUUCAAGCCUGCAUGAGGCGACACUUUGCAGAUGUUGUCAAAAUCUAUGAUUCUUGCACUCGAGGAUCUUAGGACAACUUUGUUCACACGAAGAACUUGAAGAAUGCAACUACAUAGCGUUAGAACAAUAGUUUUUUUACCUUUGGCAAGAGCUUCGGUCUAAUUUUGUUUUGAAAAUAGUUGGUAGGAUUUAGUGCUAUUUUUAUUAGUGAAUAAGAUAAUAUGAUUUUAUUUCCUUUUUUUUAUUGACCAUUUUCAUUAUUGUGAAAUUUGAAUUAAUAUUUGAAAUAUAUAUAUGUUCUUUAUAUAUUUCUGUUAAA